UACAGAGGUCCCGAGCGUUGUUCGGAUUCACUGGGCGUAAAGGGUGCGCAGGUGGUCGGGUAAGUCUGAUGUGAAAUCCCGCAGCUUAACUGCGGAAUGGCAUUGGAUACUAUUCGGCUAGAGGGUUGGAGGGGGGGGACUGGAAGUUCUCGGUGUAGCAGUGAAAUGCGUAGAUAUCGAGAGGAACACCAGUGGCGAAGGCGAGUCCCUGGACAACUCCUGACGCUGAGGCACGAAAGCUAGGGGAGCAAACAGG
rnacentral:rRNA from 1 species